AUGUAUGGUAAAGGAAUUGCGAGGAAGUGCAUCCAAACACCAUCUUGCAACGGCUGGUACCUUCCCCAAAAUGGACACCCUAGACCAGUUUUCUUCUGCCGGAGCCCAGGCCUCAACCAGUGCUUGCAUGAGGAUCUUGCAGCGGAAGAUCUUCUACCUACUGGGAUGGCUAACUGUCCAAGAAGCCCUGACCUUCAGGAAGACCUCGCUCUUAUCGCCAACAGGACAAUGAAUCAGGAUCCAACCUGACAGGGUACCUUUUNNNNNNNNNNNNNNNNNNNNNNNNNNNNNNNNNNNNNNNNNNNNNNNNNNNNNNNNNNNNNNNNNNNNNNNNNNNNNNNNNNNNNNNNNNNNNNNNNNNACAAUGAAUCAGGAUCCAACCUGACAGGGUACCUUUUCCAAAGUUGGGGACAUUUUGUCUACAGUAACACCGAAGGGAGUCUGCACAGAACUAAAGGUGUUGGGCUUUGUUGGGCUUUUUAGUCCUACUCCCACUCUUGGCAGGCUUCACACCUGCAAAAACAAUCUAGACUUUCUUUCCUCCUGAUUCUGUUCAUCUCUGCUCCAGUUCUCCUAGUGAAACUAUUCGGUAAUUCUUUGGGAAGUGAAAUAGUCCAGAUUCAUGGCAGUCUAAAUCUGCAUUAAGAACAAUCACUCACAAUGAAGACAGCCCUUAAUUUUACUUUGCUCAUCUAUUUAGGUUUCAUUGUCUUAAAUCUUUCCACUUCUGAGUUUUACCUUUGAAUUUUUCAUUUUCCCUUGGAAUUACCAAAAGGCUCUUUAAAGAGACUUUCCCAAAAUAGUGUAUUCUCAAAGUGAAAAUCAAGGCACACUUUCUCCAGCCAUGUUUCUUAGUUUGUCCACAGAUAUUUUGCCUCAGAACGAUCAGGGUGCUUUUUAAAAAUACAGAUUCCUAGGUCUGGAUUCCAAGGUCUUCUCCAUCAAAAUUUGUUAGGAAAGGGCCCCAGACAUUGCAUUUAAAAACAAAUUUCCUGAGGAAAGAAUAUAUGUGUCUCAAGCAUGUUUGUAACUAGUAUGUGAUGAAUAAAUUAACAGAGAAAGGGGCAAAGUUUUCUCAGUGCUUCUACUGCAAACUGAAGCAUAAGAACCUCUGCUUUCUCUAGAAAAAUAAACUGCAGUUUAAAAAAUUUGGUCUGUUCUAAACACCUUCUCUUCAAUGUUUUUCCGUUCAUUCCAAAUUAUUAGAGUUCAGACUCAGCUCAAGAACCCUCUUGUAUUCCACUUUACAGAUAGGAAAAGAGAUUGAGGACAUGCUGUUGUACAGAAAUCACAGCUUCAAAGGCAUCUGACUUCAGAGGCAUAGUGACAACAGCCAGUAUUUAUCAAGCACUGAGUGGAUCCAGAGUCCUUUACAGACAAUAUCAUGUGUAAUCCACACUAUAAAAAGAUAAAAUCUUACAAAAUAGAUGCCAUUAUUUCCAUUUUGUACUUGAAGAAACUGACACUCAGAAAGAAUUUGAACCCAGGUGUUUUCUGUCUGUGGUCUGAUGCCUGCGCCCACCUCAAGGUUUCUCUUCCUUUGUUUUGCCCAAAUAUAUUCUAUAUGCUCACUAAUGCCUUCAAUUGCUUGUUUAGAGUUAGCCCUUUAACUUAAAGCUCUGUUUUCUGCUGAAGUUGGCAUUUUAUUACUCUCUGGGCAUUACUAUCAGAUUGGUAAUUGAAAAACCAUUGAAAAGCAAAGGGUAGGAGAAGUGUAGGAGGCUGGAUGCAGACAGUGGGAAGGAACCUGUGACAUCGUCUAGGAGAGGGGGCACCAUUGAUCAGUGGCUAUUAUGCUCACAGUUUUACCCAGGACCUUCUUGUCCUGAAAGCCUGAUCUCUUAAGGUCCAUGCUCGCUGAGGACAAUCCUAUGAAGCCAAUAAUGAAGCUUGUCAAAGGAUUUCUGUAUAUGUAUGAUGGAGGAGGGUGGGGGUGCUAACCACCUAACCAGAGAUGAAGAUUACAUUGAUAUCAACCGAAAUCUCAAUAACCUCAGAUAUGCAGAGGAUACCACCCUUAUGGGAGAAAGUGAAGAGGAACUAAAAAGCCUCUUGAU
ensembl:lncRNA